GCCUCGGUGGUGUAGUGCUGGUAGCACGCGUCCCCGGUAUGGAUGAAACGUGGGUUCGAUUCAUGUCUAAGGCC